rnacentral:tRNA from 1 species
GUACCCAUGGUGUAGUGGUUAUCCUUUUCUGCCUAACACGCGGUAGGUCCCACGUUCGAAACAUAGUGGGUACA